UGGGGAAUUUUGGACAAUGGGGGAAACCCUGAUCCAGCCAUCCCGCGUGUGCGAUGAAGGCCUUCGGGUUGUAAAGCACUUUUGGCAGGAAAGAAACGUCAUGGGUUAAUACCCCGUGAAACUGACGGUACCUGCAGAAUAAGCACCGGCUAACUACGUGCCAGCAGCCGCGGUAAUACGUAGGGUGCAAGCGUUAAUCGGAAUUACUGGGCGUAAAGCGUGCGCAGGCGGUUCGGAAAGAAAGAUGUGAAAUCCCAGAGCUCAACUUUGGAACUGCAUUUUUAACUAACGGGCUAGAGUGUGUCAGAGGGAGGUGGAAUUCCGCGUGUAGCAGUGAAAUGCGUAGAUAUGCGGAGGAACACCGAUGGCGAAGGCAGCCUCCUGGGAUAACACUGACGCUCAUGCACGAGAGCGUGGGGAGCAAACAGG
rnacentral:rRNA from 1 species